GACGAAGGAUGCAAGCGUUAUCCGGAUUCAUUGGGUUUAAAGGGAGCGUAGGUGGCCUUAUAAGUCAGUGGUGAAAUCUCUCAGCUUAACUGAGAAAUUGCCAUUGAUACUGUAGGGCUUGAGUACAGAUGCCGUUGGCGGAAUAUGACAUGUAGUGGUGAAAUACAUAGAGAUGUCAUAGAACACCGAUUGCGAAGGCAGCUGACGAAACUGUAACUGACACUGAGGCCCGAAAGUGCGGGGAUCAAACAGG
rnacentral:rRNA from 1 species